AUUAUGAUACUUCCGUCCAGCCACAGUUUAUCGCAAUGGGGGCGGCCUGCAGUGAUCCUGGAGGAAGCGCAAGCAUGCGCUUAUGA
rfam:Paenibacillus sp. MY03 contig75, whole genome shotgun sequence.